rnacentral:rRNA from 1 species
AGAGUUUGAUCAUGGCUCAGAACGAACGCUGGCGGCAGGCUUAACACAUGCAAGUCGAGCGCUGUAGUAAUACAGAGCGGCGCACGGGAGAGUAAUACACGGGAACCUACCUUUUGGUUCGGAAUAACGUCGGGAAACUGACGCUAAUACCGGAUACGUCCUUCGGGAGAAAGAUUUAUCGCCGAUAGAUGGGCCCAUGUUGGAUUAGCUAGUUGGUGAGGUAACGGCUCACCAAGGCUGCGAUCCAUAGCUGGUCUGAGAGGAUGAUCAGCCUCACUGGGACUGAGACACGGCCCAGACUCCUACGGGAGGCAGCAGUGGGGAAUAUUGGACAAUGGGGGCAACCCUGAUCCAGCCAUGCCGCGUGAGUGAUGAAGGCUUCGGGUUGUAAAGCUCUUUUGGCGGGGACGAUGAUGACGGUACCCGCAGAAUAAGCUCCGGCUAACUUCGUGCCAGCAGCCGCGGUAAUACGAAGGGAGCUAGCGUUGUUCGGAAUUACUGGGCGUAAAGGGCGCGUAGGCGGCUUGGCAAGUUGGGUGUGAAAGCCCAGGGCUCAACCCUGGAAUUGCACUCAAGACUGCUUUGCUUGAAUUCGGUAGAGGUUGGUGGAAUUCCCAGUGUAGAGGUGAAAUUCGUAGAGAUUGGGAAGAACACCCGUGGCGAAGGCGGCCAACUGGACCGACAUUGACGCUGAGGCGCGAAAGCGUGGGGAUCAAACAGGAUUAGAUACCCCAGUAGUCC